UACGUAGGGUGCAAGCGUUAAUCGGAAUUACUGGGCGUAAAGCGUGCGCAGGCGGUUUUGUAAGUCUGUCGUGAAAUCCCCGGGCUCAACCUGGGAAUUGCGAUGGAGACUGCAAGGCUAGAAUCUGGCAGAGGGGGGUAGAAUUCCACGUGUAGCAGUGAAAUGCGUAGAGAUGUGGAGGAACACCGAUGGCGAAGGCAGCCCCCUGGGUCAAGAUUGACGCUCGUGCACGAAAGCGUGGGGAGCAAACAGG
rnacentral:rRNA from 1 species